GCCGGGCAUGGCGAGGCAUGCCUGUAAUCCCAGCAGCUCUGGAGGCUGAGACAGGAGCAUUGAGAGUUCAAAGCCAGCCUCAGCAACAGUGAGGUGCUAAGCAACUAGGUGAGAACCUGUCUCUA
rnacentral:sRNA from 1 species